rnacentral:pre_miRNA from 1 species
CCUCCGAAGGCUGCUGGCCCCCAGGCUGGGCUGGGCGAAUAUUUCUUUGAAAGGCUCAUUCUCAAACACCACUAAGAGC